rnacentral:rRNA from 1 species
CUCGUAGGCGGCCAACUAAGUCAGACGUGAAAUCCCUCGGCUUAACCGGGGAACUGCGUCUGAUACUGGAUGGCUUGAGAUUGGGAGAGGGAUGCGGAAUUCCAGGUGUAGCGGUGAAAUGCGUAGAUAUCUGGAGGAACACCGGUGGCGAAGGCGGCAUCCUGGACCAACACUGACGCUGAGGAGCGAAAGCCAGGGGAGCAAACGGGAUUAGAUACCCCGGUAGUCCUGGCCCUAAACGAUGAAUGCUUGGUGUGGCGGGUAUCGAUCCCUGCCGUGCCGAAGCUAACGCAUUAAGCAUUCCGCCUGGGGAGUACGGUCGCAAAGCUGAA